rnacentral:sRNA from 1 species
GCUGGGUGCAGUGGCAGAUGCCUGUAAUCCCAGUGACUUGGAGGCUGAGGCAGGAAGACUGUGAGUUGUAGCCUUAGCAACUUAGCAAGACCCUAAGCAACUCAUCAAGACCCUGUCUCUA